GAAAUAGGUGCAUAAGUUGCCCUGAAAGAAGAAGAAAGAGGAAGAAGGAGGAGGAGAAGGAAGAGGAGGAGAAGAGAAAAAGUCAUUUACUGAGGAAUAUUCUGAUAAUAUAUUGUAAAACUUUACAGCUUUCUUAAACCUACUAGAAUUUGUGCAGAAUUCAGUUAUAACUGCCUCUUACCAGCUUAUUAUGAUAAAAUUUGGACAUCCUUUACGUAAAGAUUGUUUAACCUCAAGUGGAUUUCAUGGAAAUGAAAAAAUAGAAACGCAGCUUAAUAAGAUGGCUUGAACAUAGACUACCAGAGUUACCAGAUACCUUAGAGGUCUAAUUGCCUAUCUAAGCUAUGAUUUCCAGAUGACCGCAUCUUGGGACCAACUUUUCUGAUUAGUGAGUUUCUCAUUCCCACUGCCACUUUAUGAAGUGUCUCUAAUCGUCUCUUUCUACUCUUCAAACUUCAACCCUUCCUUGGGACCAGAACUCUUCACCCAAUUCCAAAGGCAGAUGAACACUGGUUUUGACUUUUUUUAAAGUAAGAAAAUACUUUAUGUUCUUUUUCUUAUGAUGCUUGGCAUUUAUUAGUGGUUUUGGCCAUAUCUAUUUAUAGGGUUCAUCUUGCAGAAAU